rnacentral:rRNA from 1 species
AUGGACAAGACGGCGUACACCGUGAAGGUGGGCGAGGCGACGCCGGCCGCCGGCGGCAGGCCGGCGGCCGGGCCGGUCUACCGGAGCAUCUACGCCAAGGACGGCCUCAUGCGGCUUCCGCAGGAAAUCCAUUCCCCAUGGGACUUCUUCAGUGGAGCAGUCAAGAAGUAUCCCAAGAACAGAAUGCUCGGACGGCGCCAGGUUUCUGAUGGCAAGGCUGGUGACUAUGUGUGGCAAACGUAUGAACAAGUGUACCAGAAGGUUAUCCAGAUUGGAGCAGCUAUCAGAGGCUUCGGCGUUAAGCCGGGGGCUCACUGUGCCAUAUAUGGAUCCAACUGCCCAGAAUGGGUCAUGGCCAUGCAGGCUUGCAACAGCCAAGGAAUUUGUUAUGUACCACUGUAUGACACCCUCGGACAAAAUGCAGUUGAAUUCAUCUUGGACCAUGCUGAGAUCUCCAUAGCCUUUAUGCAGGAGAGCAAGAUAAAAUCAAUUGCCUCCAUACUCCCAAAGUGCACAGCACACAUCAAAGCCAUUGUUAGUUUUGGAGAUGUGCCAAUUGAGCUGAAAAGGGAAGUUGAACAAUUAGGAGUAUCUUGCUUUUCCUGGGAAGAAUUUUCUACAAUGGGAGAAGACAUUCAAGAACUUCCUAAGAAACAAAAGGACGACAUUUGUACAAUCAUGUACACCAGUGGAACAACAGGGGAGCCAAAGGGUGUGAUAAUCACGAACAGGGCUAUCGUAGCUGGGGUUACGACCACAGAGCACCUCCUCCAAUUGACAGAUAAAGUGGUGGAUGAAUAUGAUUCAUACUUUUCCUAUCUUCCAUUAGCUCACAUUUUCGAUCAAGUAAUCGGGAAUUACUGCAUCUCCAAAGGGGCUUCCAUUGGAUUCUGGCAAGGGGACAUUAGGUACCUGAUGGAGGAUGUGCAAGUGAUGAAACCAACAAUAUUCUGUGGUGUUCCUCGCGUUUAUGAUCGUAUAUACACAGGUAUCAACCAAAAAAUUCAGUCUGGAGGGCUAAUAGCCAAGCACCUUUUUCAGUAUGCUUACAACUACAAACUUGGCAACUUAAUGAACGGAUUCAAACAGCAUGAAGCAUCGCCAUUUUUUGACAAAAUAGUCUUCAGCAAAAUAAAGGAAGGGCUUGGAGGACGCAUACGUCUCAUGCUAUCAGGCGCGGCACCUUUGCCAAGACACAUUGAAGAGUUCAUGCGAGUUACCAGCUGCAGUGUCCUCGCACAAGGAUAUGGGCUCACUGAGAGCUGCUCCGGAUGCUUUACAUCGAUCGCCAAUGUUAUUUCGAUGAUUGGGACGGUUGGCCCUCCCGUGACAGCAGUCGAGGCACGGUUGGAGUCUGUUCCUGAAAUGGGUUACGACGCGCUCUCCAGUGCGCCGCGAGGCGAGAUCUGCUUGAGGGGACACACCUUGUUCUCUGGGUACUACAAGCGCCCUGACCUCACAAAGGAAGUGUUCUCAGAUGGUUGGUUCCAUACAGGCGAUAUCGGGGAGUGGCAACCGGAUGGCACGAUGAAGAUCAUCGACAGAAAGAAGAACAUCUUCAAGCUGUCCCAGGGGGAAUAUGUAGCAGUGGAGGUCCUGGAAAGCGCAUACGCGCAGUCUCAACUUGUUGCAUCGGUUUGGGUCUACGGGAACAGCUUCGAGUCCUUCCUUGUUGCUGUGGUUGUCCCUGAGAAGCAAGCCAUUGAGGACUGGGCUGCACUUAACAGCAAGUCUGGUGACUACGCUGAGUUGUGCAGUGAUCCGAAGGCAAGGAGGUACAUCCAGGAUGAGCUGAAUCAAACCGGCAAGAAACUCGGGUUGAGAGGAUUUGAGAUGCUGAGGGCCGUGCACCUGGAGCCAGUGCCAUUCAGCAUCGACAAGGACCUGAUCACCCCAACUUUCAAGCUCAAGAGGCCCCAGCUGCUCAAAUAUUACAAGAAUCGCGUUGAUCAGCUGUACAAGGAUGCCAAGAUGGGAACUGCACAAUGA